UACGUAGGGUGCGAGCGUUGUCCGGAAUCACUGGGCGUAAAGGGUGCGUAGGCGGGUCUUUAAGUCAGGGGUGAAAUCCUGGAGCUCAACUCCAGAACUGCCUUUGAUACUGAAGAUCUUGAGUCCGGGAGAGGUGAGUGGAACUGCGAGUGUAGAGGUGAAAUUCGUAGAUAUUCGCAAGAACACCAGUGGCGAAGGCGGCUCACUGGCCCGGUACUGACGCUGAGGCACGAAAGCGUGGGGAGCAAACAGG
rnacentral:rRNA from 1 species